GGCGACAUCGUCCAGCGGUUAGGACGUUCGGUUUUGAGCGCGGUUUAAGUGUGGUUUCUCUCCUCCGAAAAACCUGGGUUCGAUCCCCAGUGACGCCU
rnacentral:tRNA from 2 species